GAAAAAGGUAGCCGUGCCCCAGCUCACAGGACUUCGGUCCCAAGCAGGAGAGCAGCCUCAUGAAUAGGAAGCUUUCAACGCCAAGCAGGCUUUCGAGGCAGUGGCCACAUCUUCAGAGGAGCACACAGUAAGGUUUUGAUGGGAGUGAUAAAACCAGGCAGUAAAGUAAUGUCAGCUCUCUAUAACCACAGCUGCUGUUACUCACAGGAGGGCCGCUUUGAUGUUGUUCAGACGCUCGAAGAGUGUCUCUGGGAUCACAUUCAUGAGUGACGGGGCAGAUAAAAGAAAUACGAACAGUACACAGUCACUAACAGACGUCACUACAUGUCCGUCAGGCACAAUCAGCAUUGUGAACACACGUACAUUAUCAUUAAAUCAUUGGGCAGACACUCAGUGAAUAUGUGGUGGUGGUAAUACAUGUGAUGCAAGUACAUGUAAAAUGCUAAAUGGAUACAUGAGAGACUUAAUAUAUAGACUAUAAUGAUGUCUGCCUAUUAUCAGUCUGACUCAAUCACGUAGUUCGGGAGCACUUUUUAAUACAAUGAGCCUUUUUACUAUACUACACUAUAGAAGUACCUUGUUUAGAAGUUCCUUGCACAGCCUGUAGGUGCAGAGAAGGUAGUGCUGCUAGUCAAAACAAAAAGAUGAUCUAAGACUUAAAUGUCACAUCUGAUUUGCCAAGGACCUGGAACAAACUCUUGAUUGGCUCCAGGCAAGGUGGUUUCAGAUGAAAUAUCAGAUAACAACUUUGGAGCUGGGGGUAAACAAGAUAAAUCCACUGUGGAACCUAUAAACAUUACACAACUCUUGUAGAACAGGGCAGCUCCCAGAGUGCGUAACCGCUUGAAUGUCAGGCAAGCUGGUGCUGGGAAAAAGAAAGAGAGUGAGGACAGAGGGAGACAGAGACAGAGAGGGAGAAGGUUGUGGGUGAAAUGCGGGUGACUCUGCCUGACCUGCCUCAGGGUCAGAUGUAAAAAGGUUUCUGAACUGAGUGCUGUGCAGUCUCCCAUGGCCUGGUGUUCUCAAGGACGGCUGAUAUUUAACCCAUGAGGCUGCCUCUCAGGUCAGCAGAGACUCCUGGAGCCCUGCUGCUCUAAUUUCAGUGCAUUUAAAGAGAUUGUACUUCAUUUCAUUUUGUAGAUAUUUCUUUAUGACAGUGGAUAACAUUGUGCUGUCUGUUAAUCUGUUAUGCCAGUUUAGCUUGUGAUACAGUUGCUUGUGUCCGACAGGGGGAUGAUCUGUGCUUUGGUUUCAUCUGAUUUGAUAAGAUGUCAGGUUAUACAUAAAAUGAAGACUUAAAGGAUUGGUUUAAAGAAAAAAAGAAGGGAAUCAUGUUUGGAUGCACAUCUAAACAUUUUUAUUUUAUUUUACUCUUUAUGUGUGUGUCAAGCUGUGGAAGUGACUUUCCCCCAACCUGUUCCCUGUUACAGAACAAAAUAAAGGUACUUUAUUCUCUUCUUUUGUAUGGCUGAGAAAAGGUA